rnacentral:lncRNA from 10 species
ACAGCCCUUAAUCCAUUUAACCCUGAGUUGACACAGCACAUGUCUCAGGGAACACAGGGUUGGGGGUAGGGUUACAGAUUAAAAUGGAGUCUCUUAUGUCUACUUUCUAUACAGACACAUUAACAAUCUGAUCUCUCUUUCUUUUCCCCAGAGGAUUGUUUUGAAAUACAGCACUAUUGCCCUUUCGCCACUAUACAUUUGGGAGAAGACAGGCAUAUCUCAGAGAUGUUGCAAGUUCAGCUCCAGACCACUGUAUAAAAUGCUUAGCUUUAAAGCUUCAAAGUACAGGCUGCCCCUCUUGUUAAGGGCUAAUGUAGUUGGUGACUUAAGUUGAAGCCAAUGCUUGUUUACCAUUUUGAAAAUCCUAGGACCCUUAAGAAUUAUGUUAAGUCUUCUCUGCCUGUGCUCUAGAAAUGGAACAACAAAGAAUGAUGGCAGUGCAUCUCUUUACAGCAUGGUUUACUAAAUAUUUUAAGCCCACUAUUGAGAUCUACGGCUUAGAAAAAAAAAAUCUUUCAAAAUAUUACUGCUCAUUGACAAUCCACCUGGUCACCCAAGAGUUCUGAUGGAGAUGUGCAUGGAGACUGAUGUUGUUUUCAUGCCUGCUAAUAUAGCAUCUACUUUGCAGUCCAUGGAUCAAGGACUAAUUUUUACUUUCAAGUCUUACUUAAUAAGUACAUUUUGUAAAGGUAUAGCUGUCAUAGAAGUGAUUCCUCUAAUGAAUCUGGGCAAAGUAAGUUGAAAACAUUCUGGAAAGAAUUUCUUAUUCUACACGCCAUUAAAAACAUUUUUGAUUCAGGGGAGGAAGUCAAAAUAUCCACAUUAACAGGAGUUUGGAAGAAGUUGAUUCCAAACCUGAUGGAUGACUUUGAGGGUUUCAAGGCUUCAGUGGAGGAAGUAACUGCAGAGGUGGAAGGAACAGCAAGAGAACUAGAAUCAGGAGUGGAGCCUGAGAAUGUGACUGAAUUGCUGCAAUCUCAUGAUGAAACUUGAACUGCUUCUUAUGGAUGAGCAAAGAAAGGGGCUUCUUCCGAUGGAAACUAUUCCUGGUGAAGAUAACCAUGAACACUGUUGAAAUGACAACAAAGGAUUUAGAAUAUGACAUACACUGCAUUGAUAAAACAGUAGCAGGGUUUGAGAGGAUUGACUCCAAAUUCAAAAGAAGUUCUACGGUGGAUAAAAUGCUAUCAAACAGCUUCACGUGCUACAGAGAAAUUUUUCAUGAAAAGAAGAGUCAAUCUAUACAGCAAACUUUAUUGAUGUCUUAUCUUAAGAAAUUGCCACAGCCACCCCAACGUCCAACAACCACCACCCUGCUCAGUCAGCAGCCUUGAACGUAGAGUCAAGACUGUCCACCAUCAAAAAGAUUAUGACUCGCUGAAGGCUCAGGGAAUAGGGAGCCCUGAGGAGAGAGACAGAGGCAUGAAGCGAGCAUAUGCUGUUCACACAUGGUGCCGAUAUGUUAGAAGCGUGUGAACCAGAGCAACUCCAUCUUGAAUAAGAGCUGGAUAAAACAAGGCUGACACCUACUGGGCUGCAUUCCCAGAUGUUUAAAGCAUCCUAAGUCACAGAAUGAGAUAGGAGGUCAUCACAAAAUACAAGUCAUAAAGAACUUGCUGAUAAAACAGGUUGCAGUGAAGAAGCCAGCUAAAACCCACCAAAACCAAGAUGGCCACAAGAGUGACCUCUGGAUGUCCUCAGUACUACACUCUCACCAGUGCCAUGACAGUUUACAAAAGCCAAGGCAAAGUCAGGAAGUUACCCUAUAUGGUCUAAAAAGGGGAGGCAUGAAUAAUCCACCUCUUGUUUAGCAUAUCAUCAAGAAAUAAACAUAAAAAAGGGCAAUCGGCAGUCCUCAGGGAGGCUCUGUCUAUGGAGUAGCCAUUCUUUUAUUCCUUUACUUCCGUAAUAAACUUGCUUUCACUUUACUCUAUGGAUUCACCCUGAAUUCUUUCUUGCACUAGAUCCAAGAACCAUCUCUGGGGAUCUGGAUCAGGACCCCUUUCCUGUAACAGAUAGACUUACUCAACUCAGGGUUGCCACAAACCUCCAAUUUGUAAAAAACAUAAAUCCAUGAAAUGCAAUAAAGCAAAGCACAAUAAAACAAGGUGUGCCUGUAUUUGGUAUAAGGGUUAGCCUUGCUUACUAAUUGUGAU